GACGAACGCUGGCGGCGUGCUUAACACAUGCAAGUCGAACGGAAAGGCCCUGCUUUUGUGGGGUGCUCGAGUGGCGAACGGGUGAGUAACACGUGAGUAACCUGCCCUUGACUUUGGGAUAACUUCAGGAAACUGGGGCUAAUACCGGAUAGGAGCUCCUGCUGCAUGGUGGGGGUUGGAAAGUUUCGGCGGUUGGGGAUGGACUCGCGGCUUAUCAGCUUGUUGGUGGGGUAGUGGCUUACCAAGGCUUUGACGGGUAGCCGGCCUGAGAGGGUGACCGGCCACAUUGGGACUGAGAUGCGGCCCAGACUCCUACGGGAGGCAGCAGUGGGGAAUAUUGCACAAUGGGCGGAAGCCUGAUGCAGCAACGCCGCGUGCGGGAAGACGGCCUUCGGGUUGUAAACCGCUUUCGCCUGUGACGAAGCGUGAGUGACGGUAAUGGGUAAAGAAGCACCGGCUAACUACGUG
rnacentral:rRNA from 1 species